rnacentral:lncRNA from 1 species
AGCAUUCCCGCUCCAGGGUGGAGCGACCCUCCCCUCCUCCCUCCCGGCCCCUCGACUACACCUGGGGUCUCUCCUUCCUUCCUCCUCGGGAGGAGCCCGACUGGGAGACGCCGCGGGGACUACCCAUUUCCAGCCCGCUCACCUUUCCCAUGCAGCAGCCCCUGCUUCACUCACUGAUCACUCCUUCGCGAGACCAUUAGUGACUGAGCACCUAGCGCAUGGUGUGUCAGGAGCUGGAGAUUGAGCCUUGAACGGAGCAGGCCUUGUCCACAGGAAGCUUACAGUCUGGAGAAGACACAUGAAAGACGCGAAGAAGCCAAAUGACUUGCCGAGGCUCCAGGGCAGCGCUGUCCAAUAGAAACAUGAUGAGAGCCACGUGUGUCGUUUCUUAUUUGACUCAGAGGAACUGACUGCUUCCGUUUUCCCAGAAUUCUAUCAAAUAUCUUUCAAGUGUCCACAUGUACCCAAGCGACGCACAUUCCUCACAUAGAGGAAGGCAAGGAAAGGUGGCAGAGAUCCUUCAAUCCAGACUGUGAAGAAAACCCUUGAGUUAAGACAUUAGACAUCUGUGCAA